UCUUCUCUUCUUGAUACAGCACAGGCAUCUCUGUGUUGAGCCGUCACAUCCAAAAGAGGCUGACAGCAUGUGAAGGCAGAGCGGUAUGCUUUGAUAAGAAAAUGCAAAUCCCAAACAAAACAUUUGCAGAACUACUAAUCUCUAUAUCAGAAAAGUUGAGCAAUUAUAUUUUUUUACAGAAUGACUCAAAGGUAAAGGUGAUUCCUUAUAAGAAAUCGAACAAAUAACUUAAUGUACACACAUCCCAUUUAUUUCUGCGCCAGAAACUAAAGUUACCUGAUUGAGAUUAAUGUCAGAACUUCCUCUGUUUUGUGCAACCAAGGUUUGAUCUUUUUUGGUCUAAGCACUGCCUUAUUAGUAGUUUGAGAACUUGUAUGGUGCAGCAGGAAGCUACCAGAGGCAAAAUGUACACUUGCUGUUAAGACAAAGGUUAGAAUCAGGUGAGGCUGACUUCUUUUUUAUUUUUCUGGGGUUUUCCUACUUGGUUCUUUACAAAAUUAAUGUAUCAUUUUAUUCAAACUACUCUGGUAAAUAUAGUCAAAAGGGACUUCUAACUUUGGAAGAGGGUGUGGCAUUCUGAAUCAGGUUUAGAAAUUUUUGAUAACACAAGCUGUCGUUAGUUUUCAUGGUAAUGAAUUCUGCACUUUGAAGUGAGAGGUCUGGCUGUUCAUAGCUGGUGAUGCAAAAGCAAAGGUAGCGAAACUCAGGCAAUUUGGAAGGUAUUGUGAUUAUUUUUAAUUUUAGUUCUUUGUACUAUAAUAUUUAUAGCUAAUUCAUUAAUUGUUGUUUGCAAUGCUGUUGUAUUAAGAAAAAUGUGUAUCUAUCAGUGUGUUUGCAUGAUUUGUUUUGGUAUAUUUCCCUUAUUUAGUUCAACUUUUACCAUACCUCCUACAGGGAAAAAUAAUUUAAUUUAGCAGAAGCUGUUUUCAUUCUGAGCAAACCUUGUUUUAAAGCUAUGGGGGUUGUAAUUACAUUUAAUUAUAAUAAGUUUGGGUUUUGAAAAAACCUCAGUAGUCUGGGUUUUAAAUUCCCACAUCAGUUCAUGGUGAGCCUAAAGACUGGCAGUUCACUGCGUUAUGUUCCAUAUUUUUUUCCACCAGCAGAGCUUGGCUAGGAAAACAAACUUAAUCCAAGGUUUAGAAUUUUCCACUUUUCUACAUUUCAUAGAAGCUGGGACUUUGGAGUAAAUUUCUAAGUGCAUGCCUCCAGGUAAGCAGUUUCUUGUACCUGGACUUACAUGUUGGCAUAGACCUACCCAAGAACAUAGCUCACUGGGAAGAAACAUUACCUCCCUCUGGACUUUUUUCCCUUCUGACCAUCACUAACCAAAGGGCAAACUCUCUCAAAGGCUUUGCAGCCAGGAAAAGCAGAAAGUGUUUAUUAGAGACUAAGCUCAAGAAAAGAAAUACGUGGGGCAUGGAGCUGUGUUAAGUUCAAACAUUACCAGAAAAGGAUGCUUACCCUGAGAAGCUUUGGUUGUAGUGUUAGAGUGUAGGAAGGAACGUGACUUUGAAAGGGUGUUACUUUGGAUGAGAGGCAGGAGUUGUUGCUUUUGGUAAAGAACUGUUCCAUCAAUUACUAUGCCAAUUAUAAGGAGCUCUUUCUAUAGGACAAGUGGCUCCACAUUAUUAUUCCCAAAGGGGAUGUAUUUGAAAAAAAAGCCAAAUGCUAAUAAAAUUAACAAACUUAAGGAGUACACAUUUUAUAAGGAACAGAAAAAGUUUGUAUGAGUCUCUGAAUACACCAAAAGGAUUAUUUUGUUUUGUAUUUUCAUGUCUUUCUGUUAUGCUGAUUCGUUCCUUUUGACUUUGAAUAAUCUUUUUACUUCUUUCCUUGAAUUCUAGCCCAGUUUUCUUAAACAUAAAUCUGUUAUCUUACACUAUCUCAGAGAAAAUAAGCAAAAGUUGUUCUAUCCUUUUUUUCUAGCUUCUUCCUCUUUAUAACUUUAUUUUCAGAAUUUAACUCAAAAUUCCCUAAUAAUUGACUAUGAGUUUGAUUUCUGGAUCAAAAAACUUUUUAGGCACAUUCUGCAGUUUCCUAAGCUUAUUGUUGUUGCCUUGAUAAUAUAUUAUGUAAGGAACUGAGCUGUUUCUUGAUGUCAUUGAUAACUCUAGUGAGUUAGACUUAUUAAACUCAGUGUGGCAAGUAUUUAUCUUUAACAAGAGAUUUCCAUCUGACACCAUUUAAACAGUCUCUGGGGCUGUCAAUGUUCUUUUAAUUUUAUUCCAGCAUUGCUAGUAAGUUACUGCAGCAUUUUUAGUGAGCUGCUCCUUCAGAGGAUCUUGCACUGUAGAUGGAUCUUUCUUCUUAGCACUGCUGUAAUCAAGCUGUUGCUAGUUCUUACAUUUCCUGUAGAUUUGUACCAAAAAUAUGUAGCUGGUUUCCCUUCUGGUUCUUCUCAAGAGUCUGCUGUCAUAUACUGGUUGGACUUCAGUAACUUCUGUUGUAGAUAUAUUUGGUUUUGUGAUUUGUUUAUCAGAAAGCACUACUUCUGUCUCUCUAAGAUUCUGCUAAAGCUCUGUGGAGCUUCCCAUCCACACUUUGAUGUUAAGGUACUUCACGACGGGAACAGCUUGUUCUCCAGGCAUUUGGGGAUUUCUCCCUUUAACUCCCCAAGGUAUGGUUCUAAUCAUCUUAUUCUCUGAAUCUUUCCCCAGAGGUGCUCUUCUGUGCUUCUUAUUGACUCCACAGUAUGGAUCCAUUUUGCUUUCCUGUCAAGCAUUGAGCUGUUCCAGUAGUGCCUCAUUCAGUUCUCUGGUUCUUCCUAUUAAAGUUUUUUUUCAGUCUGCAGGAGGAGAAGAGGUAUAACAGUUAUUUAUAUUGAUACCUAUAAAUCUUACUCCUCUCCUGUUUUAAUUUGGAGUCUAACUCAAGCAGGAAAAGCAUGUUGAAUGGGGAUGAAAUUAAAAGCUUACCCAUAGUUUGAAGCUUUCUAAGAAGAACAGAUUUUUUAAAAAUUCCUUCAGUGAUGGAAGUAUUCAUUUUAUGGUAAGUGCUAAUAUACUUCAAAGGUAGAGGGAACAGGUGAAAGUCAAACCAGUGCUUCGCUAAACAUUGAAAGCCAGCCUAUCAAUGCUCUUUACUUUCAGAGUAAAACUGACAAGUUUCCUGAAAUAUCUAGUUCAAACAUGUUGUUUGCCAGCAGCUAGCAGGCAUUUGUUUCCAAAGCUGGUGGAAGCAGUUUUCAUUCUUCCUGCCUCAGUGAUUGAUUUGUUUCUUUCUGUUUUUUUUUUUUCUUUCAGGGAACUUAAUUGCACUGUUUUUUUCAUAAAUAAACACAUCAAAUGUCACGAUAUUAGCAUAAUCAUAAAAAUGUCAAGUAUGUGCUGCAUUUGCAAUAUGUCACAGUUUACUAUAGAAUGUAUUUUCUCUUCCAAUUAACAUGAGUCUCUGGAGAGUGACUCUGAAUGGGCAGCUCUUAAAAGGUGACGAUUGGUUCCUACACAUUAUUCCCCUUAGGGAUAAGAAUAGAUUGUCCCUAAAGCAGGAUAAUAUUGGUUCUCAAAACCAGUAGAUCCUAAAGGAAUACAUGGAUAUACAUGGCCACUUAAGAAGGGGAAAUGUUACUGACCUUGUGGUUGCAUUCUGUGCAAGCUCAUGCUGUGUCUGGCUGACCCCAUUGAUCUCCCACAAGAACCUAGAUUACAAAUUUCUGUGCCUAUCAUAAUCCAUAUACUAUCAUUUGUUCCGUGGGUAGUAUUAUUUAUUCUUUAAUACAGGUGAUUGACUGAUGCUAUAUAUUUAAGAUGACUAGAUAUGUUAAAAAGAACCAGGUACAUAUUAAUAAAUAUGUUUUUGUCUUGUAUCUAAACUUGUACAGCCUGUCGUACUGCGUGCACUAACUGCAGUAGCAUUGUUUUAGUCAGUAGAUUCCUGAAAGGAUUUGGGAACUGUGAAUCUCAUUGGUAAGGAUGCAAGUCUGAAAAUGGGAGUUUCUUAUACAAUCAGAUUUUUAUUGAUGGUAAGUUUAUGUAAAGCAAAUAUUAUGAACUUCUGUCCAAAGUUCCUUCUUUCUUGUCUGUUAUAGAGGGAAAUAGCUACAGAAUUAAUGCACUUAUAUACUUAAAAAUUUGGAGAUGGGAACCCAUCCAUGCAGUAAUUUUCUUCCCAGUUUUCUGUUUUUGAUCAUGUCCAGAGCUCUUCCACUUGAUUUGUGAUUGCCAUCUUCAUUAAGCUCAUGAGUGCAAUGGUAAGAGAGACUGCUGCCCUAAAAGGUCCCUUGGCACUGGUUUUUCCAUGCAUGGAAGGUCAUCUGGUAUGACCAUUGGAGAAGAAAGUAAGUGUGCUGGGUGGCCUCAUCCCUAUUGCCUUCCAACUGCUUGCUACAGGUUUUGCUGGUGAGUAUGCUGCUGCAUUGCAGCACAGCUCUGUGUUUCUGUCCUUGUUCGGAUGGGCAGGAAAUUCCCAUUUGCACUUGCGGGGAAUACAGUGGGCUAUAAAUAAGGCAUAUGACAAAAAGUGCCAAGAAACAGGUAACCUCCUCUCUCUGCAUAUAUUUACAGAAGGUGAGAGCCCCUUCACGUAUGCCGAGCAGUCAUUAAAGGGAUCACCUCUCCCUUUGGUCUUCCUUAAUAUAUCUUAGUCCUCAUUUGUUAAGAGACAGAAAUCACAACUCUCUGCUGGCUUCACUGUUCUGUUUUAUGGCACAGGCAAAACAGUACCUGCUGAUAAUGAUAUGGAUGCCCACUGGACAUAGGCAGCAUCAGGUGGCUUACUUCAUGUGAUGAUUUGUGUCCUGCCUGAUGUGAUGCCUGCAUGUGUUUGAGACAUAAGACUCUAACAUAAAGCUACAUCAAGAUUUGGAAAGUUUUAAGAAAAUCAAAUGAUUUCCCCCCCCCAUUUUGAAUAAACCAUUGGCUUAUUUCUUCAGACUGUGUGAUAAAAAAUAGGAAAUGAAUCUGAUCAAUGAGGGAAGAACAAUUGUUUUUACCAGAUCACUUUUCUGAACAUGGCUGCAUUCCAAUCCCUUUCCAAAGACUGAACUCAUAUAUCCACUGUGGAAAAGAAAUGUUCUUAUUCAUGAGUGUGAGGAUUCAUACUUACCAUGCUGCAGUUUUGCCAGAGGACUGGUGAUUGUCAUACAGCAAGCAGUUCAAACCAGGAAUCCCCCUGGGCUGAAUGCUUCAAAACAGCUGGAAGACGGUGUAUAGUUAAGAAGAAAUUUCCUGGACUUUCUUACACCCCCCCAUUCUUGUGUAAAUAGUGCAAGUUCAUCCAUCACUGGUAAUCAGAAGACUGUCAGGAUCUACUGACUGCAAAAUUUGGGAGUUCUCAAGAUUACAUUUGAAAUACAGAAAGCUGUGUUUGAGAAACUGCUGGAAAGGGAAAAGAAAAGAGAUGUAUUUCCCAGAAUAAUGGUUCUUGUUUUGCAUCAGAUUUUCCAUUAAUUUUUCUUAAUGAUGUGGACUGUUUGUCUUCCGUGCUGUUGUUCACACUUGGCCUGCUGUCAGUGAAACCUAUAAACAGGGUAAUUGCUGUAAAUGAAGUCUGGAAUACAUAUACAAAUGCAUACGUAAAGAAAAAAUAAUCCUGACGUUAUUAAUCUCAUGAAAAUUAAUGUAACAGAAGUGUUCCUUGAGUCAUAGCAUGUUUGAAUGUAGGGAAUUUAUUUAAACUCGUUUCCAAGGCAGUUUUGAUAGUUUUAAAAAAUAAACAUUUUGUUUAAGACAAAUCUCUAGAAAGCCUUCUGUCCAUUCCAGUGCAUGUUAACAUUCCUGUGCUCGGGACCUCCCUGAACUCUCUUAUUCUGUGAUUUUCGGGCUGUUGACUUUGCCUUUUUUUUGCUGGUAGUGUCAGGCUUGCUUGUCCAAUCUCAGCUGCGUGGCUGAGGCACUCAUCAUUAUCCGUUGUUUGAACAAAGUCUUG